rnacentral:rRNA from 1 species
UACGGGGGGGGCAAGCGUUGUUCGGAAUUACUGGGCGUAAAGGGCGCGUAGGCGGCCUUCUAAGUCGGACGUGAAAUCCCUCGGCUUAACCGAGGAACUGCGUCCGAUACUGAAAGGCUUGAAUCCGGGAGAGGGAUGUGGAAUUCCAGGUGUAGCGGUGAAAUGCGCAGAUAUCGGGAGGAACACCUAUGGCGAAGGCAGCUCGCUGGGACGUUACUGACGCUGAGACGCGAAAGCGUGGGGAGCAAACAGG